UUUGUUUCAAGUUCAACCCUGAAUUUUUUUGUUUUUGACGCUUGGCCAGAGUUUGAAGGAAAAUGAUAAAGAGCUGCUUCAAGCUAGACUGCUAGAGGGUGAUUUUGGUAUAUUAAGAAUUUUUUUUUGGUUUGAUUUUCUGAUUGUAAAUAAUAUCGUGUCUGCAGAGAUUAGGAAGAAAUACCCAGAUAGAAUUCCGGUUGAUGUUAUGUUUUGGGGAUGAAUUGAAGUAUUUUAAUGCAACUAAGAUACCUAGUCCCAGCUGACCUGACUGUGGGUCAGUUUGUGUAUGUAAUCUGAAAGAGAAUUAAACUGAGCGCGGGAAAGGCAAUUAAUAUUUGUGGAUAAUGUCCUCCCACCAAUAGGUAGCAAUUAUUCUUUCCCCUCUGGUUUGUACACAUACACAUAUCUGCUCAAAGCUUUAUAAGGGCACAUUACUCUAUCCCUAACCAAGGUGGGAUAUUAACAAUGCCGUCCAUGUGUUUCUCAUCUUUAUAAUGACUAGGCAAAAGCUAUGCAAGUUUUUCCUUGCCAUGGUGCCCAUAACAUGUCUUCUAUGGACACAAUUAUAGGUUGUAUUUAUUCUUUUUCUUAAAAGUAAAUGAUGUCAACUACUAAAUAAUUUAAACUCCAUUAAAGAAUGAUUUCUUUAAAUCAUUCUACUUGUUUACUAAAAUGAAUACUAGAUUUUGCUGAUAGA